GUACACGCUGUGACUAGCAUAUCAAUAAGCGGAGGAAAAGAAACUAACAAGGAUUCCCUUAGUAACGGCGAGUGAAGCGGGAAGAGCUCAAAUUUGAAAUCUUAAAGGGUUUCCCUUUACGAAUUGUAGUUUAAAGAAGUGUUUUCUGUUGAGGUUUUGGUAAAAGUUCUUUGGAAUAGGACAUCAUAGAGGGUGAGAAUCCCGUAUUUGACCUUUACUUUCAACUUUGUGAUACACUUUCAAGGAGUCGGAUUGUUUGGGAAUGCAGUCCAAAAUGGGUGGUAAAUUUCAGUCUAAAGCUAAAUAUUGGCGAGAGACCGAUAGCGAACAAGUACCGUGAGGGAAAGAUGAAAAGAACUUUGAAAAGAGAGUUAAACAGUACGUGAAAUUGUCAAAAGGGAAGCGUUUGACACCAGUGUUGUUUUUCUGAAAAUCAAUUAAAGAACUGUUUAUGCUAAGUUGUUUAGACUUUAUCAGCUAUCUGUUUAGUUUUGAGCUUUUCUUUAAUGCACUUUUCAGUUAACAAGUCAACAUCAAUUUCUUUUGCUGUAAAAAAGCUUGAGGAAGGUGGCUUGAGAUUCGUCUUAAGUGUUUAUAGCCUCUUGCCUAUGCAGUCGGAGAGAUUGAGGUCUGCAGCGUAGAUCCUUCGGGGCUAAAUGCAUUUGUGCUAAGUUAUAGCAUUUUAUAGACAACUUGUUGACUAUGAUUUGUCUUGUAGCUUACUCGCUUAUGUUAGUUUUACCUACGCUUAGGAUGUUGAGUCGUAGAGCACGCAG
rnacentral:rRNA from 1 species